GUGAAUCAUCGAAUUUUUGAACGCAAAUUGCGCCUUCUUUCGGGAGGCAUGUCUGUUUGAGGGCACCAUUUAACAAAUAAUGUGCGUGUCUCUAUGCUGCCUCCACACGGUGAGGAGCAUUUCCGAAAAACUAGGGUUUUUUGGGGGUGCAUAAUGAACAGCUUUGCGUUUUUUUUUCGUUUCUCGUGUAUUUAGUAUAUUUUCCUGGCUUGGUUU
rnacentral:misc_RNA from 1 species